rnacentral:rRNA from 1 species
AACGAACGCUGGCGGCAUGCCUAACACACGCAAGUCGAACGAGAUCUUCGGGUCUAGUGGCGCACGGGUGCGUAACGCGUGGGAAUCUGCCCUUUGGUUCGGAAUAACAGUUGGAAACGACUGCUAAUACCGGAUGAUGACGAAAGUCCAAAGAUUUAUCGCCAGAGGAUGAGCCCGCGUAGGAUUAGCUAGUUGGUGUGGUAAAGGCGCACCAAGGCGACGAUCCUUAGCUGGUCUGAGAGGGUGAUCAGCCACACUGGGACUGAGACACGGCCCAGACUCCUGCGGGAGGCAGCAGUGGGGAAUAUUGGACAAUGGGCGAAAGCUUGAUCCAGCAAUGCCGCGUGAGUGAUGAAGGCCUUAGGGUUGUGAAGCUCUUUUACCCGGGAUGAUAAUGACAGUACCGGGAGAAUAAGCUCCGGCUAACUCCGUGCCAGCCGCCGCCGUAA